rnacentral:rRNA from 1 species
CGCGGCCUAUCAGCUUGUUGGUGGGGUAGUGGCUUACCAAGGCUUUGACGGGUAGCCGGCCUGAGAGGGUGACCGGCCACAUUGGGACUGAGAUACGGCCCAGACUCCUACGGGAGGCAGCAGUGGGGAAUAUUGCACAAUGGGCGGAAGCCUGAUGCAGCAACGCCGCGUGCGGGAUGACGGCCUUCGGGUUGUAAACCGCUUUCGCCUGUGACGAAGCGUGAGUGACGGUAAUGGGUAAAGAAGCACCGGCUAACUACGUGCCAGCAGCCGCGGUGAUACGUAGGGUGCGAGCGUUGUCCGGAUUUAUUGGGCGUAAAGGGCUCGCAGGUGGUUGAUCGCGUCGGAAGUGUAAUCUUGGGGCUUAACCCUGAGCGUGCUUUCGAUACGGGUUGACUUGAGGAAGGUAGGGGAGAAUGGAAUUCCUGGUGGAGCGGUGGAAUGCGCAGAUAUCAGGAGGAACACCAGUGGCGAAGGCGGUUCUCUGGGCCUUUCCUGACGCUGAGGAGCGAAAGCGUGGGGAGCGAACAGGCUUAGAUACCCUGGUAGUCCACGCUGUAAACGGCGGGUACUAGGUGUGGGGUCCAUUCCACGGGUUCCGUGCCGUAGCUAACGCUUUAAGUACCCCGCCUGGGGAGUACGG